rnacentral:misc_RNA from 1 species
AAGUCGUAACAAGGUUUCCGUAGGUGAACCUGCGGAAGGAUCAUUAUAAAAUUUUCAUAUAUUAAAUUUAUUUAAUGUAUAAAAUAAUAUUAUAUUCAAAACCCACACUCUUUUAAACCAUUAUAUAAAAAAUAUUAUAAUUAUAAAAACAACUUUCAACAACGGAUCUCUUGGCUCUC